UACGUAGGGUGCAAGCGUUAAUCGGAAUUACUGGGCGUAAAGCGUGCGCAGGCGGUUUUGUAAGUUUGUCGUGAAAUCCCCGGGCUCAACCUGGGAAUGGCGAUGAAGACUGCAAGGCUAGAAUCUGGCAGAGGGGGGUAGAAUUCCACGUGUAGCAGUGAAAUGCGUAGAUAUCUGGAGGAAUACCGGUGGCGAAGGCGGCAUCCUGGACCGGCAUUGACGCUGAGGAGCGAAAGCCAGGGGAGCAAACGGG
rnacentral:rRNA from 1 species